rnacentral:rRNA from 1 species
GUUAGCGCACAGCUCAGUAACACGUGGCUAACCUGCCCUUGGGACGGAAACACCCCCGGGAAACUGGGGCUAAUUUCCGAUAGGUGAAGACUCCUGGAAUGGAUUUUUGCCGAAAGGGCGCUUAGGGCAUGCUUCUAGGCGUUGCUCAAGGAUGGGGCCGCGGCCGAUCAGGUUGUUGGUGAGGUAAUGGCUCACCAAGCCUUUAACCGGUACGGGCCGUGGGAGCGGUAGCCCGGAGAUGGGCACUGAGACAAGGGCCCAGGCCCUACGGGGCGCAGCAGUCGCGAAAACUUCGCAAUAAGCGAAAGCUUGACGGGGCCAUCCCGAGUGCCAUCUGCUGAGGAUGGCUUUUACCCAGUAUAGAUAGCUGGGGGAAUAAGGAGAGGGCAAGUCUGGUGUCAGCCGCCGCGGUAAUACCAGCUCUCCGAGUUGUGGGGAUGUUUAUUGGGCCUGAAGCAUCCGUAGCCGGCUGGACAAGUCCUCUGUUAAAUUCAGCGACCAAUCGUUGGUCUGCGGAGGAUACUGUCCGGCUAGGGGGCGGGAGAGGCCGUCGGUAUUCUUGGGGUAGGGGUGAAAUCCUAUAAUCCCAGGAGGACCACCAGUGGCGAAGGCUGUCGGCUAGAACGCGCCCGACGGUGAGGGAUGAAAGCUGGGGGAGCGAACCGGAUUAGAUACCCGGGUAGUCCCAGCUGUAAACGAUGCAGGCUAGGUGUUAGGGCGGCUACGUGCCGCUCUAGUGCCGCAGGGAAGCUGUUAAGCCUGCCGCCUGGGGAUACGACCGGCAGGCUGAAGU